CUGACCUCAAAUCGGGUGWGACUACCCGCUGAACUUAAGCAUAUC
rnacentral:rRNA from 1 species